CCUGUACCUACGAAUUGUGUGAUGGAGUGACGGAGAAGGUUAUUAUGUGCCGGUUAUUGGAUUCCGGUUUAAAUAGCAAGGUUAGUAAGUUGGCAAAUCCGCUUACUAUUAAGACUAAGUUAUGAGUACGAGCGACCCCUUCGGGUAGUAGCGAAGACAUAUAUAUCAUGCUUCCAAGAAAAGCUUCUAGCGUUAAACAAUUAGUAGUCCGUACCGAGAACGAACACACGUGGUCAAGGAGAAUAUCCUAAGGUUAGCGAGUUAACUACAGUUAAGGAACUCUGCAAAUUAACCCCGUACGUUAGCAAUAAGGGGUGCUCGCUGUAAAAGGUGAGCCGCAGUGAAUAGCGAGGGGGGACUGUUUAACAAAAACACAGCUCUAUGCUAAGUCGUAAGACGAUGUAUAUGGGGUGACACCUGCCCAAUGCUGUAAGGUUAAAGAAGAAUGUUAG
rnacentral:rRNA from 1 species